GGUUGUGUAAUCCGUAAUUUGGUAGCGGAGCAGACUGUAAAUCUGAUGUCUUCGGACUCUGUAGGUUCAAGUCCUACCGCAACCACCA
rnacentral:tRNA from 1 species